UAGUCCACGCCGUAAACGAUGAUUACUCGUUGUUGGCGAUACACAGUCAGCGACUAAGGGAAACCAUUAAGUAAUCCACCUGGGGAGUACGAUCGCAAGAUUGAAACUCAAAGGAAUUGACGGGGGCCCGCACAAGCGGAGGAGCAUGUGGUUUAAUUCGAUGAUACGCGAGGAACCUUACCUGGGCUUAAAUGCUUAACGCCAUCCCGUGAAAACGGGACUUUCUUCGGAACGUUUUGCAAGGUGCUGCAUGGUUGUCGUCAGCUCGUGCCGUGAGGUGUCGGGUUAAGUCCCAUAACGAGCGCAACCCCUAUUCUUAGUUACCAUCAGGUUAUGCUGGGGACUCUAAGGAAACUGCCUACGCAAGUAGUGAGGAAGGUGGGGAUGACGUCAAAUCAGCACGGCCCUUAUGUCCAGGGCUACACACGUGCUACAAUGCCGGCACAGAGGGCUGCUACCUGGUGACNGGAUGCUAAAUCUCGAAAUCCGGUCUCAGUUCGGAUCGAAGU
rnacentral:rRNA from 1 species